rnacentral:misc_RNA from 1 species
GAUGAAGAACGUAGUGAAAUGCGAUAAGUAAUGUGAAUUGCAGAAUUCCGUGAAUCAUCGAAUUUUUGAACGCACAUUGCGCCCCCUGGUAUUCCGGGGGGCAUGCCUGUCCGAGCGUCAUUGCUGCCCUCAAGCACGGCUUGUGUGUUGGGCCUCCGUCCUCCUCCCGGGGGACGGGCCCGAAAGGCAGCGGCGGCACCGCGUCCGGUCCUCGAGCGUAUGGGGCUUCGUCACCCGCUCUUGUAGGCCCGGCCGGCGCUUGCCGACACAUCAAUCUUUUUUCCAGGUUGACCUCGGAUCAGGUAGGGAUACCCGCUGAACUUAAGCAUAUCAAAAGCGGAGGA